AUCAUGCUGAAACACCUGUUCCCGUACAAUCACCGAAGUUAAGCAACGUCGAGACUUUGCAUUACCUAGAUGGGUAACCGCUUGUGAAUACCAGGUGCCGUAAG